GAUGAACGCUGGCGGCGUGCCUAAUACAUGCAAGUCGAGCGAAUGGAUUAAGAGCUUGUUCUUAUGAAGUUAGCGGCGGACGGGUGAGUAACACGUGGGUAACCUGCCCAUAAGACUGGGAUAACUCCGGGAAACCGGGGCUAAUACCGGAUAACAUUUUGAACCGCAUGGUUCGAAAUUGAAAGGCGGCUUCGGCUGUCACUUAUGGAUGGACCCGCGUCGCAUUAGCUAGUUGGUGAGGUAACGGCCCACCAAGGCAACGAUGCGUAGCCGACCUGGGAGGGUGAGCGGCCACACUGGGACUGAGAAACGGCCCAGACUCCUACGGGAGGCAGCAGUAGGGAAUCUUCCGCAAUGGACGAAAGUCUGACGGAGCAACGCCGCGUGAGUGAUGACGGCUUUCGGGUCGUAAAACUCUGUUGUUAGGGAAGAACAAGUGCUAGUUGAAUAAGCUGGCACCUUGACGGUACCUAACCAGAAAGCCACGGCUAACUACGUGCCAGCCGCCGCCGUAA
rnacentral:rRNA from 1 species